AGAGUUUGAUCCUGGCUCAGGAUGAACGCUAGCGACAGGCUUAACACAUGCAAGUCGAGGGGCAGCACAGGUAGCAAUACCGGGUGGCGACCGGCGCACGGGUGAGUAACGCGUAUGCAACUUACCUAUCAGAGGGGGAUAACCCGGCGAAAGUCGGACUAAUACCGCAUGAAGCAGGGGCCCCGCAUGGGGAUAUUUGCUAAAGAUUCAUCGCUGAUAGAUAGGCAUGCGUUCCAUUAGGCAGUUGGCGGGGUAACGGCCCACCAAACCGACGAUGGAUAGGGGUUCUGAGAGGAAGGUCCCCCACAUUGGUACUGAGACACGGACCAAACUCCUACGGGAGGCAGCAGUGAGGAAUAUUGGUCAAUGGCCGAGAGGCUGAACCAGCCAAGUCGCGUGAAGGAAGAAGGAUCUAUGGUUUGUAAACUUCUUUUAUAGGGGAAUAAAGUGGAGGACGUGUCCUUUUUUGUAUGUACCCUAUGAAUAAGCAUCGGCUAACUCCGUGCCAGCAGCCGCGGUAAUACGGAGGAUGCGAGCGUUAUCCGGAUUUAUUGGGUUUAAAGGGUGCGUAGGUGGUGAUUUAAGUCAGCGGUGAAAGUUUGUGGCUCAACCAUAAAAUUGCCGUUGAAACUGGGUUACUUGAGUGUGUUUGAGGUAGGCGGAAUGCGUGGUGUAGCGGUGAAAUGCAUAGAUAUCACGCAGAACUCCGAUUGCGAAGGCAGCUUACUAAACCAUAACUGACACUGAAGCACGAAAGCGUGGGGAUCAAACAGGAUUAGAUACCCUGGUAGUCCACGCAGUAAACGAUGAUCACUAGCUGUUUGCGAUACAGUGUAAGCGGCACAGCGAAAGCGUUAAGUGAUCCACCUGGGGAGUACGCCGGCAACGGUGAAACUCAAAGGAAUUGACGGGGGCCC
rnacentral:rRNA from 1 species